rfam:Cyanobacterium endosymbiont of Epithemia turgida isolate EtSB Lake Yunoko DNA, complete genome.
AGAGUUAGCGAGGGAGUUGCGGAUUCGUCCUUGAGGCGAAUUCGAGGAAAGUCCGGGCUUCCUAAAGACCAAACUUGCUGGGUAACUCCCAGUGCGCGUGAGCGUGAGGAUAGUGCCACAGAAAAAUACCGCAUUUUUUAGGCAUUGUCUAAAAAAUGUAAGGGUGCAAAGGUGCGGUAAAAGCGCACCAGCAGCAUCGUGAGGUGCUGGCUCGGUAAACCCCGGUGGGAAGCAAGGUCGGAGGAACUAAGGUUGGUCUUUUUCCGUUCCGUUAUUGGAGAACCGCUUGAGGCGUUUGGUAACAAGCGUUCCAGAUAGAUAAUUCCCCCUAUAAGACUAAUAUUUUAUAGGAACAGAACCCGGCUUAUGUCUAACUCUUUCC